AUUGAACGCUGGCGGCAUGCCUUACACAUGCAAGUCGAACGGUAACAGGUCUUCGGAUGCUGACGAGUGGCGAACGGAUGAGUAAUACAUCGGAACGUGCCUAGUAGUGGGGGAUAACUACUCGAAAGAGUGGCUAAUACCGCAUGAGAUCUACGGAUGAAAGCAGGGGAUCGCAAGACCUUGUGCUACUAGAGCGGCCGAUGGCAGAUUAGGUAGUUGGUGGGAUAAAAGCUUACCAAGCCGACGAUCUGUAGCUGGUCUGAGAGGACGAUCAGCCCCACUGGGACUGAGACACGGCCCAGACUCCUACGGGAGGCAGCAGUGGGGAAUUUUGGACAAUGGGCGCAAGCCUGAUCCAGCAAUGCCGCGUGCAGGAUGAAGGCCUUCGGGUUGUAAACUGCUUUUGUACGGGACGAAAAGUCUUGGGUUAAUACCCUGGGAUCAUGACGGUACCGUAAGAAUAAGCACCGGCUAACUACGUGCCAGCCGCCGCAGUAAGAC
rnacentral:rRNA from 1 species